GGGAUUUUGUAAUUACAGCAACAGGCUAUGCCUGUUUCCCCACCCAGCUUUACCGUGUCCUGGUCUCUUGCCUCAGUUUCUCAUGAGCUAUAAAAACACACUGAGCUCCAUCCAGCAGGAUUUCCUCUGUCUGCCCGUGGGACUACACUGCUGGAGCGCUCCUCUAGGACUAGAGGAUGUCAGCUAGGGAGCCCCUCCCAUGCCAAGCAGCAAGUAGGACCUGGCUGAGAGGAAGGACACUGCGGGUGUAUGUUUCCCUCCACUGCCCCCCGGGACGUCCCUGAGAGCGUCCAUCUGAGCUGCAUGUCCAUGGAUGAUGCAGCUGUCCUGUGGUCCCCGCUAAGAUGGAGUGAAAAAGCAAGUCCCAAGCCCCUGGCCAGCCAGUCCGGUUGCAUCUGUAAUCUCCACCAUGGCCUGACGAUUCGCCAGCACCUGCUUUCCCUGAGGCACAGAUAGCACAGAAAUAUUUCCUCCUCCUCUGUGUUAACUUGAGCAUCGCAGUUCACUACCAAGAAGUAUCAAGGCAAGUCAAAGGAGAAAGGAAUAUGCAAUAAAUGACACUGAAGCAACUGGAUAUCAACAUGCAAAAAGAUACAUUGAAACGUUUUACAUCAUGGACAAAAAUUAACUCUAAGAUGGAUCACAGACUUAAAUGUAAGAGAGUUUGAAAAGAUUGCUAGGAAUAAAACAAGACAGAAUGAAAAGUUACCUGGGGCUCUGAAGCUGUCAACCAGGAGAUGAACACACCCACCCCCCACAGCUGGCCUUUGAGAUGAGCAGCGGAUCACCAUGCUGCGAUCAAGCCUGGCUGUGCCUCCCGCUGCUAACAGGAGCCCCCAGGCUGCCCCACUGGCGCUGCUGCAGGGCACCUGCAGGGAUGCGAACGCUGCGUGUCCACACACAGCCCCGUGCAUGUGUGCACACAGACAUACUUGUGUGAUUCUACACUCACGUGCAUGCACACACAGGCACACAGCUUCGCUCACAGCCUCACACUGUGUGUACACACAUGCACACAAAAAGCCUUAGGAACACACACACAUGCACACACAUGCACAUCUGUACACACUCACGCACAGUCCUAUGCACACUCAUGCACACACAUCCUGUGCCCACUGAACACAAUAAGGUCGGAGGGGCACUCUUGGAAUAGAGCCUCUUUUGAGAAUGGAUUAGGCUUCCUGAUGGUAACUGGAAGAAACGUAGAGAGAGACCCUGACAUCUCCCAGAAUUCCCACAUUCCCAUCUCCCAGCAUUCCCAUUCCCUCAGACCUCCUCCCUCUUACCUGGCUGCCUUCACCAUGGGAGAGAUCAGCAGAUGCAAUGGAAAGUCCAGGGAGGGGAGCAAUGCAAGAGCAGUACAGAACUUGAAAGAUAAAGAGGAUAGAACAAAGCAAAAGCUCUCUUUGUAUAGAUAUCUUUAUAUCCAAAGAAACAAACAGUAGGGAAUCAAGGAGUAAGUAGGAUCGGAAUAUAUGGUAGUGAUGAGAAAUACAAAGCCAUAAGCAUGUUAACCCUCCUUUGCUUUGCUGUUUCAAUGACUGGGAAUUUGUUUUAGGAAAAUAACACCAAACCAUGAAAACUCUGCAUGCUUCAUGACUAAGAAGACCGCAUUAGCAAUCAAUUAAAAUGGCAACACUAGAAGAACCAUAAAGUGAAUCUACUGCAGUGAGUCACAGCGGCAAUUUAAAGACCAAGUUGCCGUUAACUAAGAUGCAGAUGACGCAGUCAUGGAAAGUUGCAUAUGUGCUGUCUGCCCACAUGUAACACGUGUGUCUGCCCUGGGAUAACGGAAAGACUAGCAGUAGGGCCCUCCAAAGUGAGUGGCCGCUGCAGAAGCUGCUCAGCCCCGGAUCCUGGAUGUCCAGAGUUGCAUCAACAAGCUGUCUCGGGCUGGCUGCUCGUGGCGAUUUCCCUCGUCCUGCUGGAGAGCAGCAGAUGGUUUCCCAUACUGUGUUAUAUUUAUUAACAUUCAGCCCAGACUUAAUUGACAAUACUAAACAUUGGUUCUUUAAACAUUCAGCUUCAUUAUUUGCAAUGGUAAUUUCAGUAAACAGUAGCUAUUCCAAAGCUCUGUAGUGUGAAAUUAAAUUUGUUGGUUAAUUAAUUGGAAGAAUGUAGCAACUUCAGACUGCUUAGAGAUGGUGGCCUUGGUGUGGCAUUGAAAUCAGUGAUCUGUAAAAUUACUCACAGUAUAGCAAAGUCAAG
ensembl:lncRNA